AUAAAUAUUGUGGUAAUUAAUGCCUAAAACAAAUAAACAUAUAUUAAUAAUGAAAUGGUUAUUUAUAAAUAUAUAACAUUUAAUAUUGUCUGUUAACUUUUUCUGUGGGUAAGUUGGUAACCCUCAAUCUGUAUAGAAUGAAGCUAAAUUUUAUUAAUAACUUAGGAUAAAUCUACAAAAUAUGCCACUCUUAUCUCGAGACAGUUGGAACAAUGGUCUUUACAGUUUAGAACCUCACCUCGUGACUCCAAACUGCACGCUCAUAGCACAACCAAAUGUUGCGAUGGCAACACCAAGAGGUAUUAAGAAGCUACCGGCACCGAGAACUCGAUCACCAAACGCGACAGCCACAGCCGGGACUGAAGUCAUCUCAGUAAAGCUUAGAGCAGACAUGUAGGCUACGUUCAUAAAUACGUAGAGUGCUGUGAUGAGAGGCACUGCUAUGGAUAUGCUCAGAGGGACAUUCCUAUAAAAAUACAAACUGUGUAAUUGACAGGCUUGCUACAGUGAAGAUAUGUAAACAAAAAAAAUAAAUAUCUUUUAAAAUUA